UACGUAGGGUGCAAGCGUUGUCCGGAAUUAUUGGGCGUAAAGAGCUCGUAGGCGGUGUGUCACGUCGGCCGUGAAAACCUGCAGCUUAACUGUGGGCGUGCGGUCGAUACGGGUAUCACUGGAGUUCGGCAGGGGAGACUGGAAUUCCUGGUGUAGCGGUGAAAUGCGCAGAUAUCAGGAGGAACACCGGUGGCGAAAGGCGGGUCUCU
rnacentral:rRNA from 1 species